GCGAGGUAAGUUGAAGUCGGAUUGUCGGAUCUCCGUAGUUUCGAUCAUUUUAUCCUAUCUCCAACAAAGCGAUAAAUGCAUCUUAACUGCGGUGAUCUGAAUUCUUGGACACUUUUU
rnacentral:pre_miRNA from 1 species